rnacentral:rRNA from 1 species
GAUGAACGCUGGCGGCGUGCCUAAUACAUGCAAGUCGAACGCUGAAGGAGGAGCUUGCUCUUCUGGAUGAGUUGCGAACGGGUGAGUAACGCGUAGGUAACCUGCCUGGUAGCGGGGGAUAACUAUUGGAAACGAUAGCUAAUACCGCAUGACAACAGUUAUUGCAUGAUAACUGUUUAAAAGGGGCAACUGCUCCACUACCAGAUGGACCUGCGUUGUAUUAGCUAGUUGGUGAGGUAACGGCUCACCAAGGCGACGAUACAUAGCCGACCUGAGAGGGGGAUCGGCCACACUGGGACUGAGACACGGCCCAGACUCCUACGGGAGGCAGCAGUAGGGAAUCUUCGGCAAUGGACGGAAGUCUGACCGAGCAACGCCGCGGGAGUGAAGAAGGGUUUCGGAUCGUAAAGCUCUGUUGUAAGAGAAGAACGAGUGUGAGAGUGGAAAGUUCACACUGUGACGGUAUCUUACCAGAAAGAGACGGCUAACUACGUG